UACGUAGGAUGCAAGCGUUGUCCGGAAUUAUUGGGCGUAAAGAGCGCGCAGGCGGUAUGACAAGUCAGAUGUGAAAGAGGCCGGCUUAACCGGCAAGGGUCAUUUGAAACUGUCAGACUAGAGUGCAGCAGAGGAUAGUGGAAUUCCUGGUGUAGCGGUGGAAUGCGCAGAUAUCAGGAGGAACACCGGUGGCGAAGGCGGGUCUCUGGGCAGUAACUGACGCUGAGGAGCGAAAGCGUGGGGAGCGAACAGG
rnacentral:rRNA from 1 species